rnacentral:rRNA from 1 species
CUGCUGCCUCCCGUAGGAGUCUGGUCCGUGUCUCAGUACCAGUGUGGGGGACCUUCCUCUCAGAACCCCUACGCAUCGUCGCCUCGGUGGGCCGUUACCCCGCCGACUAGCUAAUGCGCCGCAUGGCCAUCCGCAGCCGAUGAAUCUUUAACCGCCGAGGGAUGCCCCUCUGCGGUGUUACGCGGUAUUAGACGGAAUUUCUUCCGCUUAUCCCCCUGCUGCGGGCAGGUUCCAUACGUGUUACUCACCCGUGCGCCGGUCG